CCUACGGGAGGCAGCAGUAGGGAAUAUUGCUCAAUGGGGGAAACCCUGAAGCAGCAACGUCGCGUGGAGGAUGAAGGUUUUCGGAUUGUAAACUCCUUUUGUUAGAGAAGAUAAUGACGGUAUCUAACGAAUAAGCACCGGCUAACUCCGUGCCAGCAGCCGCGGUAAUACGGGGGGUGCAAGCGUUACUCGGAAUCACUGGGCGUAAAGAGAGCGUAGGCGGGAUAGCAAGUCAGAUGUGAAAUCCUAUGGGUGAACCAUAGAACUGCAUUUGAAACUGUCAUUCUAGAGUAUGGGAGAGGUAGGUGGAAUUCUUGGUGUAGAGGUAAAAUGCGUAGAGAUCAAGAAGAAUACUCAUUGCGAAGGCAGCCUGCUAGAACAUAACUGACGCUGAUGCGCGAAAGCGUGGGGAGCAAACAGGAUUAGAUACCCGAGUAGUC
rnacentral:rRNA from 1 species